AUGUGCAGUUAAAAGCUCGUAGUCGGAUUUGGCUGAGAACGAACGGUCGCGUUAGGUGUGCACUGUUUGGUCUCAGCUUCCUGGUGAGGAGGUGUGCUUCACGGCCACUUAGUCACCGUGGUUACUUUGAAAAAAUUAGAGUGUUCAAAGCGGGCUUACGCUUGAAUAUAUUAGCAUGGAAUAACACCAUAGGACUCCUGUCCUAUUUCGUUGGUCUCGGGACGGGGGUAAUGAUUGAGAGGAACAGUUGGGGGCAUUCGUAUAUCAUUGUCAGAGGUGAAAAUCUUGGAUUUAUGAAAGACGAACUUCUGCGAAAGCAUUUGCCAAGGAUGUUUUCAUUGAUCAAGAACGAAAGUUGGGGGCUCGAAGAUGAUUAGAUACCAUCCUAGUCUCAACCAUAAACGAUGCCGACUAGGGAUUGGGGAUGUUAAUUGAUGACUUCGCAGACUUAUGAGAAAUCAAAGUUUGGGUUCCGGGGGGAGUAUGGUCGAAGGUGAAACUUAAAGGAAUUGACGGAAGGGCACCACCAGGCGUGGAGCCUGCGGCUUAAUUUGACUCAACAGGGGAAAUUACCAGGUCCAGACAUAGUAAGGAUUGACAAGAUUGAGAGCUCUUUCUUGAUUCUAUGGGUGGUGGUGCAUGGCCGUUACUUAGUGGUGGAGUGAUNUGUCUGGUUAAUUCCGUUAAGAACGAGACCUCAGCCUGCUAAAUAGUAUGCGACUACUCUUAGGCGUAACAGAAUUCUUAGAGGGACUAUGUGCGUGUAAGCACGUGGAAGUUCGAGGCACAUUAACAGGGUCUGUGAUGNCCUUAGAAUGGUGCAUUGGGGNCCGAAUGACGCGACUAAACUGAACCGAAAUUUCAAANGAAGNAUUAAAACAUUGNGCCGAAAGGUCUUAGGGUAAAUAGUCCAAAAAAUACGGAGGUGAAUGGGGAAUAAAUNAUUNGAAAGNAAUUAAAUAUUACAANGGAAGGAAUUGCAGAUAAAGGCAAGUAAGCGAGAUUGGGNGUUGAAUAAGUAACUGAACCUUGAA
rnacentral:rRNA from 1 species